ACGCCGGAUCUGGGGCGCAGACUGCCGCCCUGUGUGUAACCGCGGAGAAAUGCCAGUGGUUCCAUGAUUACUUAAACGCACUUUAACAUCCCUAGUUAGCACAAAGACUAGCAAAAUCUGGAACUGCACUACCAUCAUCCUGGUCUAGGGGCUGGGUUGCUCCAUUGCAUGGGGCCCAUUGGUAAUUUACAGCUGUGACGUUAACAGAAGAGCUCAGAGCCUGGCGAUCAUGGGUUUUGCUCAGAACUGGAAAGAGUCGACGGUAUUGGCAAUGUUUUAAGAAGUGAGGCAACCUGGAGAUGGGGCAAAUGUAAACCCCCUCAAGGGCGUUUGAAACCGUUUGUUCACAGAGAAGCUGAUUUUACCCAUAGUCAGCUGCCUCCCCGCCUUGCUGACUCAUCUCCUCCCCUCUCCUCCCCCUUAUCUCUGGUCAUCAGAAUGUCUUUGUGUGUUGAAACUGCCCAGAUAACAAGAGGAAUGCUAUAAAGAAACUGCUUUGGAAGGGCAAAACCUUUCAGCCCCUGCGGGGAGGAAAGAGACAUUUCUGUGGUCCGGAUGUGGACUGCAUCACUUGGUGGUUGAGAAGAACUGACUAGUGAAAACGUCUAGUGAUGUAGCGGUAUUGGUUCCAAGCUACUAGCCGGACGAGUUAACGUGACCCAGUCUCAGGAUUCCCCCUCCAGUCAGAGGUCCUCCACCAUGGCACCUGGCAAGGAGCGGAAAAUAUUAUAUGAGGAAAUCCCCGAAGACCACAGCGAGGCCAUCAGCACGAUCUACAGCACGGCGGUCGCGCAGCAGCCGCCGGAGUCCAGCGAUGAGCCGUUCGCCACCUAUUUCGACGAGA